UGGGAACUGCGCUUGUGACUGCUAAGCUAGAGUACGGCAGAGGGGGGUGGAAUCCACGUGUAGCAGUGAAAUGCGUAGAGAUGUGGAGGAACACCGAUGGCGAAGGCAGCCCCCUGGGCCGAUACUGACGCUCAUGCACGAAAGCGUGGGUAGCAAACAGGAUUAGAUACCCUGGUAGUCCACGCCCUAAACGAUGUCAACUAGGUGUUGGGAGGGUAAAACCUUUUAGUACCGGAGCUAACGCGUGAAGUUGACCGCCUGGGGAGUACGGCCGCAAGGUUAAAACUCAAAGGAAUUGACGGGGACCCGCACAAGCGGUGGAUGAUGUGGAUUAAUUCGAUGCAACGCGAAAAACCUUACCUACCCUUGACAUGUCCAGAAGCUCUUAGAGAUUUGAGUGUGCCCGAAAGGGAGCUGGAACACAGGUGCUGCAUGGCUGUCGUCAGCUCGUGUCGUGAGAUGUUGGGUUAAGUCCCGCAACGAGCGCAACCCUUGUCGUUAAUUGCCAUCAUUUAGUUGGGCACUUUAACGAGACUGCCGGUGACAAACCGGAGGAAGGUGGGGAUGACGUCAAGUCCUCAUGGCCCUUAUGGGUAGGGCUUCACACGUCAU
rnacentral:rRNA from 1 species